UGGAGGAAACACAACCAGAACCAAACCCUCAGUGCUGAACUGUCAGCACGGUGUGACAUCAUCCAGCUUCCUGUUGGGGGCGGAGCUUAGCAGCAGAGUCCAGAACCAGCUGGUACCUGGUUCUGCAGCACUAAGACUACAUCUGCCAGAUCACAGAAAUGGCUGAUCUGCUGCACCAAUGAGGAACUGAGAGCUGAGAAAAGAUGGCGUCUGAUUGGAUGAUUGAGUAGCACAACUGCAUGAUCUACUUCCUGUUUGCUUCUCAGAGGAAGUGAUGUCACUGAAAGGCUGAGGAU